rnacentral:snoRNA from 1 species
AUGCAUCUCUGACAGACCUGGAGCAAUUAAUGUCUGCUACUAAGGUUUCUACUACAGAUACAAGAAGAAAGUCCUCAUGCUUUCUGGUUGUGGCAGCCAAGAUCAAAUGGGGGAAUACACGA